rnacentral:lncRNA from 1 species
AAUUCGACCAAUUUUACAUCGAUUCCUAUGAGCACACACUCUAAAGGGCAUCGAUGGACCGAAAAAAUACGAAAAAUCAAAACUCAUCGGCGGCGGGGCUCUCCGGAGUGGUAGCUCCUCCGACACACAUUGUGUUUGGGUGUUUCACUCCGGUCAACCUGUAGAGAAGAAAAGGGUGAUCACAACGGUGGAAAAAUUACGCAAAAUGGGAAUCGGGAAGGGCCUCAUCAGAGGCAGUUUAUGGAAUUCU